CAAGUAUUUGUGGAAAUACCUGAGAGAGAACAGAAAAGAGGAAUCUAGCUAUACUGUUAUCACCACAUUAGUAUGAAAGAUUUUACUUCUUGUUUUGGUGAAAAUGGGGUUCAAGUUGCUGAUUUCUCAUCAUCUAGUACCAAUAGAACUGCUUAGAAUCUGGUUACUUGUGUAAAUCAACUCUUUUUUCACUUACAUAUGCAAACACUGUAAUGUCGUAUCCUAUUAAGGUUCCUGUUGGAUUCCUAUUUGCUUUCUGAUAGAUAUGAUAAUCUUGCAAUUACUUUCCUAGGUUGAUGUAUUUUCCAUUUUUUUUUGUUUUUUGCAUAAUGUUGAGUGGUUCUUAAGCUUCUUGCUUUAAUCUGAUUGUUGCUAUUAGUAUUAUUGUUGCUACAUCAUUGAUGUUUUAAAAUUAAGAUUGAGAUGGGCAUCUGCUUAGCAUGUACAUUUGGAAAAGUUGGUUUUUAUAACCUAUGGAAGCCUUGUUGUCCUUGGGUUCAAAUCUGAUAGCAACACGAAGAUGAGAACAGGAACUUAAACGUAUGGAGAUGUGGAUGUGUUAAGAACCAUUUUGUUGACUUAUUUUUUAAUCAUCAGGUUCAGUUCCUAUAAUAUUUAAGUUUCUGGGAUCAAUGCAUGAUAUACCUUCUGGUUCACAUCCCAGGUUGCCAUGGCAAUGGCUGCCAAAGCAAAGCUGCUUCUUCGUGAGCUGAAGACAGUCAAAGCGGAUCUAGCUUUUGUAAAGCAGCAUUGUGUUCAGCUAGAAGAAGAAAAUAGAAUCCUCAAAGCAGCGUUGGGUUCAAGUUGUUAGAUGAGUUUUGGUUGAUAUAUUUGUUGAUGUUAUUACCGUUUGUCUCCUUUAUGUAGUUUCAAUAGAAUUUUAGAUCUUCUUCUGAGUUAUUGUAACCUCAUUUUCUAUUGGAUUUUAUACCUAAUCG
rnacentral:lncRNA from 1 species